UGGGGAAUAUUGCACAAUGGGCGCAAGCCUGAUGCAGCCAUGCCGCGUGUGUGAAGAAGGCCUUCGGGUUGUAAAGCACUUUCAGCGAGGAGGAAGGGUCGUGUGUUAAUAGCACAUUGCAUUGACGUUACUCGCAGAAGAAGCACCGGCUAACUCCGUGCCAGCAGCCGCGGUAAUACGGAGGGUGCAAGCGUUAAUCGGAAUUACUGGGCGUAAAGCGCACGCAGGCGGUUUGUUAAGUCAGAUGUGAAAUCCCCGCGCUUAACGUGGGAACUGCAUUUGAAACUGGCAAGCUAGAGUCUUGUAGAGGGGGGUAGAAUUCCAGGUGUAGCGGUGAAAUGCGUAGAGAUCUGGAGGAAUACCGGUGGCGAAGGCGGCCCCCUGGACAAAGACUGACGCUCAGGUGCGAAAGCGUGGGGAGCAAACA
rnacentral:rRNA from 1 species